UCAACAAUAUAAGUUAAUUUUAGACCUUUCUUUUUGUUAUUCCAAUAUGCAUUUUUUUUUUAUUUCUGGUUGUAGAUAGAUUCUAAUAUUUUGGAAAAUGUUAUGUAAUUGACAACUGAAGACGGUAAAGCAGUUACAAAUUACAUCCGAGAAAUUUUAUUGGAGCACACAAAGCAAUUGGAGUAUAAUUCAGUGGCUAAAAUUAUGUGUUCUUUUUGCUAUUUACCUUGAAAAUAUUUUUACAUGUGAAUUGUCUGUGUAACAAGAAAUGUAGAGAUUGAUAAAUUCAUUUUAUCUUAGUACUUUCUGACU